CGGGAGGCUUGUGACUGUCCCAUAGACUGCCAAGCUUUUACGGGUUUGGAACGACAUGGGGUAAGUGAUUAAUGACAAUAUUUUCACUUUGGGGUGGAGUAUCCCUUGAACGGGAUAUAAAUUGGAAACAUAUUUGUAUGUAGUUUUUUUUUUUGUAUUUACUUACUGCACUGAGUCUUUGUUUUUCUGUUCCUGUCUCUUUCUUCCCUCCAGUUCCUCCUGUUCAGAGGCGGCACAUGGAGUCGGUUCUGGGUUACUGGAUUUCAUCAUUUUUAGAGCAACCUCCACACAGCUCUCCGGGAUCUGAAUAUGAAACAAAAAAGAACAGUGCUACUAUUUGCUGAACUCACAGAAAAGUCAAUUCCGAUGGUCUCGUACUGGCGGUGGAUUCUGUCAGCCAGAUCAUCAAAGAGCCGGACGACUGAAGACUUCUCUAGAGACAUUGAGGGGUUCAUACCAGAACGCACAAUGGCAGGCCAUGUGAGAGCAAUGCAGUCCCAGUACUGCAGGUUAGCAAGGCAGAUCCCAGAGUGGUUCCCUAACAGACAGUACAAGGCACCCUGGAGAAGAGUAAAAAAGACAGACUAAAUAUGAUCCUACUCAAUUUUCAAAAGCUUGUCAUAUGUCAGAAUGAUCAACAGGAAGAGAAAGAUUCUUAGUUUCUUUCAGUGUAUAUUUAUUCCGAACUGUGUAAGACCUACUUUGAAUUGCUGCUGGGUGACGUCAGUACGGUCUGGGUCCAGAUACUCCAGCACUGCAGGGAUGAUGUCUCUGCAGCAUAAGCUGUAGGUUCCCAAUGCUGUGAACAGCAUGUUCUGAGCUUUACUCCUCACCUGAUGUAAAACAGGGACUGUUAAUGAUGUGUUCAUUGCUUUUGUGUGUGAAUACAUAAGUAUGUUCGUGUAUAUGGCCUUGUCAUACCUGACUGUACCUGCUGGUGGACAGUCUAAGCAGGUCAUUUAUCAAGUCCUGAUGAACGCUCCUGUAGCAACAUCCCUCCAUGGUCAGAUUUCUUAACUGAAACACACAGGCACAAAACACACUCAAAACUACUGAAAUCAUAACAAAACAUGCCGAAAAGCCACAAAAUAUGCAUUCUUGUUUUAUGAUUAUGAUCCCUAACCCAUCUCACGAAAACCUGUUCAGGUCAAUAAUUUUACCCUAAAAUAAAUUUUAGAGAAACAUUUUUUCAAUAGCUUUCAUGACACAUUUCACACAGUCUUCAUUGUCUUUAUGCAAUUUAUUAUAAGAUAUAUUAUUAGAAUGCAGUAAUAAAUAAAUCAAUAAAAUUAAAAAUAUAUGUCUGACAGGUUUUGUGAGAUUCACCCAAAUGCUCUAUAAAAUGUCAUUAUUAUUAUUAUUAUUAUUCUUAUGAGUUACCUCAUGUUGCAACAUGACUCUGUCUAUGAGUAGAGCUCUAAUGUGCUGUUUACUGCCAUGAAGCUGGAGAGAAGAGAGAGUGUCAGUCAACUACAUGUCAAAUAAAGAGAUUGGUAACAGAUAUUAAA